AAUUCUAGAGCUAAUACAUGCAUUAAAGCUCUGACCUCACGGGAAGAGUGCAUUUAUUAGAACAAAACCAAGCGGCUUCGGCUGUUUCUGGUUGACUCAUAGUAACUGAGCUGAUCGCAUGGUCUUGCACCGGCGACGUGUCUUUCAAGUAUCUGCCGUAUCAACUUUCGAUGGUAGUGUAUCUGACUACCAUGGCGAUCACGCGUAACGGAGAAUAAGGGUUCGGCUCCGGAGAGUUCGCCUGAGAAAUCGCGAACACAUCUAAGGAAGGCAGCAGGCGCGAAAAUUACCCACUCUCAGCACGAGGAGGUAGUGACGAAAAAUAACGAGACCGUUCUCUUAUGAGGCCGGUCAUCGGAAUGGGUACAAUUUAAACCCUUUAACGAGUAUCUAUGAGAGGGCAAGUCUGGUGCCAGCAGCCGCGGUAAUUCCAGCUCUCAAAGUGCAUAGAAUUAUUGCUGCGGUUAAAAAGCUCGUAGUUGGAUCUGUGCCAUAGGACGUGGUCCACCUUCGGGUGCGUACUACGCUCCUAGGCUUUUUGCUGGUUUUCCCGUCGUAGCCUUCACUGGUUGCGGCGGGUGGCUGGCGAGUUUACUUUGAGAAAAUCAGAGUGCUCAAUACAGGCGUAUCGCUUGAAUGAUUGUGCAUGGAAUAAUAGAAAAGGAUUUCGGUCCUCUUUUAUUGGUUUUGUGGACUGAGAUAAUGGUUAACAGGGACAAACGGGGGCAUUCGUAUCUCUGCGUGAGAGGUGAAAUUCUUGGACCGUAGAGAGACGCCCUACUGCGAAAGCAUUUG
rnacentral:rRNA from 1 species